UACAGAGGGUGCGAGCGUUAAUCGGAAUUACUGGGCGUAAAGCGUGCGUAGACGGUUAUUUAAGUCGGGUGUGAAAGCCCCGGGCUCAACCUGGGAAUUGCAUUCGAGACUGAAUAGCUAGGGUACGGUAGAGGGAAGUGGAAUUUCCGGUGUAGCGGUGAAAUGCGCAGAUAUCAGGAGGAACACCGGUGGCGAAGGCGGGUCUCUGGGCCGAUAUCGACGCUGAGGAGCGAAAGCGUGGGGAGCGAACAGG
rnacentral:rRNA from 1 species